AUUGGUGCUCUAACAACGGCACUGACCUUUCCAUAGUAAUUAGUAAGUGUUAUUUGUUGGGGUAGUUUGA
rnacentral:pre_miRNA from 1 species